GAAAAGAGAGUCAAAG
rnacentral:sRNA from 1 species